rnacentral:rRNA from 1 species
GACAGAGGGGGCAAGCGUUGCUCGGAAUCACUGGGCGUAAAGGGUGCGUAGGUGGCGUGGUAAGUCGGGUGUGAAAUUUCGGAGCUUAACUCCGAAACUGCAUUCGAUACUGCUGUGCUUGAGGACUGGAGAGGAGACUGGAAUUUACGGUGUAGCAGUGAAAUGCGUAGAGAUCGUAAGGAAGACCAGUGGCGAAGGCGGGUCUCUGGACAGUUCCUGACACUGAGGCACGAAGGCCAGGGGAGCAAACGGG